rnacentral:rRNA from 1 species
GGGGGGCCGCACCAGCGGCGGAGCAUGUGGUUUAAUUUGAAGCAACGCGAAGAACCUUCCAGGUCUUGACAUCCUCUGACAACCCUUGAGAUAGGGCUUUUCCUUCGGGGGCAGAGUGACACGUGGUGCAUGGUUGUCUUCAGAUCGUGUCGUGUGAUGUUGGUUUAUGUCUCGCAACGAGCGCAACCCUUGAUUUUUUUGCCAUCAUUCAGUUGGGCACUUUAAGGUGAGACCGGUGACAAACCGGAGGAAGGUGGGGGGGACGUCAAAUCAUCAUGCCCCCUUUGACCUCGGCUACACACAUGCUACACAAUGGGAACAAAGAGAGACAAGACCUCGAGGGGGCAAGAAUCCCUUAAAAAGUUUGUCAUUUUCGAGAUCAGAGUGCAAAUCUCGACUACGAAGAGUGAGAAUCUGUUAUAAUGGGAUCUGCGAACCGCGGGGAAAAUUUUCUCGGGCGUCGUACACACCUCACGUGUCACCACCAUGGGUUUGUAACA